AUUGAACGCUGGCGGCAGGCUUAACACAUGCAAGUCGAGCGGGGGAAGGUAGCUUGCUACUGGACCUAGCGGCGGACGGGUGAGUAAUGCUUAGGAAUCUGCCUAUUAGUGGGGGACAACAUCUCGAAAGGGAUGCUAAUACCGCAUACGUCCUACGGGAGAAAGCAGGGGAUCUUCGGACCUUGCGCUAAUAGAUGAGCCUAAGUCGGAUUAGCUGGUUGGUGGGGUAAAGGCCUACCAAGGCGACGAUCUGUAGCGGGUCUGAGAGGAUGAUCCGCCACACUGGGACUGAGACACGGCCCAGACUCCUACGGGAGGCAGCAGUGGGGAAUAUUGGACAAUGGGGGGAACCCUGAUCCAGCCAUGCCGCGUGUGUGAAGAAGGCCUUAUGGUUGUAAAGCACUUUAAGCGAGGAGGAGGCUACUCUAGUUAAUACCUAGGGAUAGCGGACGUUACUCGCAGAAUAAGCACCGGCUAACUCUGUGCCAGCAGCCGCAGUAACAC
rnacentral:rRNA from 1 species